GAAAAAUCAGCGGAAACUGGCGGUAUUUGAUCCGGUGGCCCAACAGUGGGAGAAUGUUCCGGUGCCUCUGACCGGAAGCUCGACUAUAGGGUUUCGUUUCGGGAUACUCGAUGGCAAACUCUUGCUGUUCUCUGUUGAGGAAGAAUCUGGAUAUCAGACCUUGUUGUAUGAUCCUGAUGCUUCAGUGGGGUCGGAAUGGCGAACAUCUGAGCUUAAGCCUACUGGUUUGUGUCUGUGCACGGUGACAAUUACUGCUUGAAGUUCGUUCGCCUUGGCUGGGAUGCGUCUCA
rnacentral:misc_RNA from 1 species